rnacentral:ribozyme from 1 species
UGCCCAGACACUCCUAUCGCUACCUCCACGUCGUACCGGCUGGAGACUAUGAGCAACUUUGGUCGUAGGCUGACAGGGAAGG